rnacentral:rRNA from 1 species
GAUGAACGCUGGCGGCGUGCCUAAUACAUGCAAGUCGAGCGAACAGACGAGGAGCUUGCUCCUCUGACGUUAGCGGCGGACGGGUGAGUAACACGUGGAUAACCUACCUAUAAGACUGGGAUAACUUCGGGAAACCGGAGCUAAUACCGGAUAAUAUAUUGAACCGCAUGGUUCAAUAGUGAAAGACGGUUUUGCUGUAACUUAUAGAUGGAUCCGCGCCGCAUUAGCUAGUUGGUAAGGUAACGGCUUACCAAGGCAACGAUGCGUAGCCGACCUGAGAGGGUGAUCGGCCACACGGGAACGGAGACACGGUCCAGUCUCCUACGGGAGGCAGCAGUAGGGAAUCUUCGGCAAUGGGCGAAGGCUUGACGGAGCAACGCCGCGUGAGUGAUGAAGGUCUUCGGAUCGUAAAACUCUGUUAUUAGGGAAGAACAAAUGUGUAAGUAACUAUGCACGUCUUGACGGUACCUAAUCAGAAAGCCACGGCUAACUACGUG